AUAGGAAUUGACGAACACCGUACAUAGGGACUUUCUUCUCUAGAAAUCCCGUUGUUAAUCACUUACCAGCACAUCCCUGGAUAAACAGGAGUCAGCUAAGUGGAAGGGGAGAAGGAGGACAAGAAAAGAGAAGUCCGGCAGUGUGAACAGCAUGUGUGAAGGCCCAGAGGACCACCUGCCAGGCACAGAUCCAGAAAGAAACCAGGACCAGCCCUGUCCACAAGGAGCUGUCUGCAGAGGAGACAGGAUGCCUGUAUAGAAAAUAGGGCUGCAGCAUCAGACGGCUGCUCCCCACCCAGGAUGGAAGGACAAACAGAGAGGACGCAUCAGGGAAGGGAGAGGCAGAGAAAGCUGACUAGGGUAGGUAGAGAAGGCUUCCCAGGAAGGCGGCAUUCCCAGCAAGAUGAGCUAAGACUUGGAGGAUGGAGGAGGUGGAGGGUUGGAAGGGAAGGAGUAGGCCAUCACUGGGGCCACCCCCAGCCUUCUAUCACAUUUGGAUCACUAUGGACCACGCCAGGUCAUCUCCGCUUUUCCCAGCAGGGAUGUUGAUCAGACCUGGGCACUCUGCAGUGAUGAUCAGCAGCUCAAGAGCAAGGGUGGCUCCUGACCGUGAGGGGUCAGCACCAGGCCCACAAGCCUGUCUGUUGCACCAGUGCCCAGGAGGGGCUGUCGACUGCAGAACUGUUUUCUCUGGCUCGACCUCACCCAGAACCAGCGGCAGAAAGGCCAGUUAUGCAACCAUCCUCACCACAGCCUGCCAGCCUCAGAGGCUGGGCCUGGCCGCCGGGCCUGGCCGCCAGGCCUGGUAAGGAGACUGCUGUGGCCUGCACAGCACAAGGCCAUCCUGGGCCCCAACUGCCACUUUCCAUGCAGGUGCAAGACGCUCUGCUGACAAAUACCUGGGGAAAGCAGGAGCUGUGGGAGGGAGGUAAAAAUAGCACAGUUGGCAACAGAGAAGGCUUUUCUAAGUCCUCAGGGUCCUAUUAGUCCUUGUCCAUGGGAUACACAUGAGCUGGCACUGAGCAUUCUCUCUUCUCCAAGGCUCAUGCUUAGAACAGGCACAGAGGCCUGGGAGGCCUCUUGUAUCAUGUCAGGAGCUGCACAGUGAUCAGAAGUUAGGGAGAGCGCCUGUUGCAGAGGCUGGAUUUGGAGGAUAUGCUGGGGCUGCCGUCAUAACCCCACAUCCCCAGUGGGUUCUCUCUGGCCACUCCCUCUACGGCCAGUUCUGUUUUCUCCCCAUUUUUGGAAACCCAAAUUCUUGAUGUUUCUGUUAUUCACAUUGCCAUUAAGAAUUAUGGGCUUUGCACUGUGUUUUUAAUUUGUUGUGUAAGGGUUUUACACAAACACAGCUAGAUGCCUAGAAAAGACAAUGUAUAUGGGCAUGCAGGCUGUGCACUGCACAACUCCAGAGGGCUUCAUUCAUGACCAGGAUGUGAGUGGCGCCCUGGAAUCAUGCAAUGUGGUUACCGGUAUUGCCAGAGAGGAAAUGAUGUCUUACAUGACCCCAUAUCCCCGGGAAAAGGCCAGCCAUGCUAAUAAAGAUUUGCUAACUAACCAAUUUGUCUCCUGCUUCCAAAUAUUCCAUGCACGGGGUUUGGCAGGCACACGGCCACAAUGCGCAAUGGCCUAGAAAGAGAGCCAUAUUGAAAUAUAAUAAUGUAUUUCCAGGCCACGGAGGUGGAGAGGCACAAGGAAUUGAUCUUUCUAAGGCAAGGAAGAUUCAUAACCACUGAAUGAGUUAACCACUACCUUCUUCUGAGUGUGCAGAUUAAAUUCUCUGUCGCACCAACAUCCAAGUGCGCUAAAUUUUAACAGACCUGGAAUUUGGAUAUAUUUAUUUCUCUUUCACAGAAUUCCCAUUCUUUUACUAACACAGUUUCAGAGUUUGAGAUAUGAGCAUAUCUCAUGUGGGAUAAUAAGGCAUCAUUCCACACCAGGUUGCACAGGCCCAUGGUUUAAUGAUGAGACUUCGCUGGUGGGUGCAAACUUUGCUGGUCCCCCAUGCUCUCUUGAAUCUGUGUGCAUCUCACACAUACGUACAUGUACACACACACACACACACACACACCCCUCUCUCAAGUUUUUAAAAACCUACUUAAAUUCUGCAUCCUACCUCCAAUAUACUCUGUGUACAGUGUAAGUGUUAAUACCAAAAAUAGUGUUUUUCUGCUGGGCACAGUGGCUCACGCCUGUAAUUCCAGCACUUUGGGGGCCGAGGCAGGUGGACCACUUGAGCUCAAGAGUUAGAGACCAGCCUGGGCAACAUGGCGAAACUCCAUCUCCACCAAAAAUACAAAAAAUUAGCCAGGCAUGAUGGUGCAUGCCUGUAGUCACAUGCCUGCAAGUCCCAGCUACUCAGGAGGCUGAGGUGGGAGAUUGCUUGAGCCCAGGAGGUGGAGGUUUUAGAGAAAAAUAGUGUUUUUCUCCAAAACUUCAUGGAAGACUGUUGACACUCAGAAAAAUGACCCAAUAUUGAUUCUGUGCCUCCACAUACCCCCCAGCACAGAGAUGUGGCACAUGUGCUGUGGUUCAUAAAAUACAUUUAUAUGUCAUCUGAUGUGAAUCUCAUAGCAGUCCUGGAGUUGUACAUUGAGUAACCUGCAUGACUGUAUAUAGCCCACUGCCUGUCAGGUAGAGAAAAGGUGAUUAUCCCAUUUUCCAGCAAGAAAAACUAAGACUCAGGGAAUGUAAUAGAACUAGACAACAUUUAAGGUUCCUUCUCAUCCUGGGAAUUGACAUACCUGAGAAUUCAGUAGUACAAAACUCUCUGAACUUGUCAAGGGACCUCACAUCUCUCCAGGAACAACACACCACUCCUCUUUUCAGUCCUGUCUAUGUCAUCAGAGUUUCCCUCACACUGUGGCCAGGAAGAGCUAAGGAGGUAUAAAUGAGGUGUACAGUGUGGGAUUAGGUGCAUGGGAUCCACAGCCCACCUGCCUGGAUUUAAACUGGCUCUGCUCCUCACCUGUGUGUGACCCUGAGCAGUUACUCAACCUCUCUGUGCCUCAGUUUUCUAAUCCAUAAGUGAGGAUAAUAAUACCACCGAAUUCACUGGGUUGUUGUGAGGAUUAUAUAAUACAUAUAGUUUAAAAACAACCAGACACACAGUAAUCACUCAAAGUUUGUUAUCCAAAAAAAGAAAAACAUUCUCAUUCUCUAUGCAUCCAUUUUCUAACCUGUAAAAUGGGAAUUUAAAAGGGGACUACAUCACAGGAUUGUUUUGAGGAUUAAAUAACAGAAUAAACAUAAGGAGCUUAAAACAAUGCUUAAUGCAUAGAAGCCACUCAAACAAGUUUGUUCUGAUUUUUUUUCCCCUAAGAAAAUAGUAACUCCAAUUCCCACAGAAAGACUUCCCAAAACAAAAGUACCAAUAAGUCUGAAAAUAAAUGCAAGACCUGAGGAGGAAUCAUUGCUGUUUUCUAAAACCAGUGAUAGACAGGCUAUCUUAGAGACCGGAGGUUCUUGCUUUACAUUCAUUUUCUGAGGUCAGGAAGUAAAAAGGAACAUGGGUGAACAGGCACUGGUGAGAUGAGGAAGAAAGAACAGGAACAUCUCAGUUGCUAGUUUCUGUUUUCACCAUGAAAAUCAUUUUAAAGCCCUGCCUAGAAUUUAAAUAGCAUCAUCCCUGGAGAUAGCUGUUUUAGUUUCAUUACAGUCUGUGUUCGUAGAGUACAAAUAGAAACCUUCGUGAUUUUAUUAGUUUCCAUGCAACUUAGGAGAGAUUUGCAUGAUAACAUUUCAUCUCCUGACUUUAAAAAGGGACCAAUUAAAAAUACAGCACUUGCAUUGCCUGUCACGGGAAAAUGAAAAGGUUCACAGAGUUUUAAAAACCUCUGCCAUAUCUAGUCCAUGGUCAUAAAUCAAGUAUUCAGUACUACGGUGGCAAUCACUAUUGUCUAAAUUUUUAGUUUAUUUUGUAAGAAGUACUUGGAACAGCUGGGUGCAGUGGCUCACACCUGUAAUCCCAGCACUCUGGGAGGCCGAGGCAGGUGGAGUACUUGAGAUCAGGAGUUCAAGACCAGCCUGGCCAACACGGUAAAACCCCAUCUCUACUAAAAAUACAAAAAAAAAAAAUUAGCUGUUCAUGAUGGUGCAUGUCUGUAAUCCCAGUUACGUGGGAGGCUGAGGCAGGAGAAUUGCUUGAACCCAGGAGACAAAGGUUGAGGUGAGCCGAGAUCGUGACACUGCACCCUAGCCUGGACGACAGACCAAGACUCCGUCUCAAAAAAAAAAAAAGAAAGAAAGAAUAUUUGCAGGAUGUUUGCACCCCUGAAAAGAGUUAAACUAUAGUACAGAAGAAACAAAAUGUACAAGUAAGUAUUUUUGCCUGGAUUGCAGCAAGUCCUACACAAUUACCAACACCCCAAAGCUACCUGGUACUCUGUGGAUUUGUGAAGUGUUAAUGUAAUGUAUCUGUGACAAGUUAAAAUUUAAUGCAUGGCUCCGGUAGCAUAAUCGAAUCGAUGUUAUGUAACCUAAGAGAACUAUUCCAGUAAGUUCUGAUGUGCUGGCUGCUUACGGUUCAGGGGGAGUUUUUUUCGGAGGUUACUGAGUAUUUAGGAAUCAUCCCUUCAGACACUUGCUCUUUUGCCACAGAAGCUGCAGUUAUCUUAUCCCUGCUUUCGGCAGCUGGAAUGCUCCGUGGAACAGGGCUGAGAUGAACGUUCUAUCUCCAAGGCUGCGUUUUGGGGCAAGUUAAGGAAAAGGAUCAAAGUAAGUUGAUUUGCAUGACCUUCUCUUUAAUCAGAUGUUUCUUUUUAUGUUCAACCUCAACAAAGCCAGCCUAUCAUAGCACACUAUUUAUAGUCUAUAAUCUAAGAUGUUCUGAACCAUUCCCCCACACCAAAAAUUAAAAUUAAAACCUCAAUAGUGGUGUGGCUAUAUCAUUAGAAGUAAUAGUAGAGUCACAAAAACCUAUUUCUGAGACUUUUUUUUUAAAUGACAGGUUUGAUGGUAUUUCCAAUGGGGCCUGUGUCCCUAGAUUGUAAUUCUUAAAUAUGUCAUCAAAGUCAAUAUUGAAGUUCUGGGGACAAGUCAAUCAAAUUUCACUCUUGUGUUUUAUAGUAGAACAAGAACUUCUCCCUGGAUUCACUGCCCUCAAUAACUUAAUCUUUGGUUCUUUAUCAGGUAAAAAUGAUAGUUUUAAAAUCUGACUUAAGAAAUGGCUUUAUAUUGAAAUCAUGAAAUCAGAGAAUUUGUUAUAUGCAUGAGAAAACUAAGGCCUGGAGCCUAUGACUUGUCUAAGACACUGUAGCUAGUCACUUGUCAUAUGUCAAAAUCAAAAAUCCGGCGCUCCCUUAACUUCACUCUAAGAGUAGACACCAUUAAACCAGACCCCACAGGCAGAAAGAGGGUUGUUCUCUUCAUUUGUCUGCUCUCAAUGUGGGCAGGGCCUACAUCAAAGUCAGCCUGGGUGCUUCUAGAGGGGCUGCAAUCUUUAGAGGAAGAAUAUCAGCUGCCCACCGAGAAAACAAGAACGCCACCGUAAAGAACAUGUCAGGGAAGGAAAUGUGCCCAAAGAUAAUGCUGGUCAUCUCCUGGAGGGGGAAUUUGGAGGAAUGUUUUUCCCUUUUCUCAAAUGUUUAUUUAUAAUUGUGGUGAAAUACACAGAAGACAAAAAUGUACCAUCUUAGGCUGGGCACAGUGGCUCACGCCUGUAAUCCCAGCACUUUGGGAGGCUGAGGCGGGCGGAUCACGAGAUCAGGAGAUCCAGACCAUGGUGAAACCCCGUCUCUACUAAAAAUACAAAAAGUUAGCUGGGCGUGGUGGUGGGCGCCUGUAGUCCCAGCUACUCCGGAGGCUGAGGCAGGAGAAUGGCUUGAACCUGGGAGGCGGAGCUUGCAGUGAGCCGAGAUCAUGCCACUGCACUCCAGCCUGGGCGACAGAGCGAGACUCUGCCAAAAAAAAAAGUACCAUCUCAACCAUUUUUAAGUGUGUAGUACUUCACACUUAAAAAUGUGCAUGUUUCACAUUGUUGUGCAUCCCAUCUCCAGAACUUUUUCAUCUUACAAAACUGAAACCCUAUACCCAUUAAACACUUCCCUCCCUCUGGCCCUGGAAACUACCCUUCUACUUUCUGUUUCUAUGAGUUUGGCAACUCUAUGUACCUCAUGUAAGUGGAAGUUAUCCUUUUGUGACUGGCUUAUUUCAUUUGGCUGAUGUCCUCGAUGUUCAUCUAUGUGGUAGCACGUGUCAGACUUGCCUUCCUUUUUAAAGUUGAAUAAUACUCUGUUGUAUGUACCUACCACAAUUCGCUAAUCUAUUCAUCUGUGAAUGAACCCUUGAAUUGCUUCCACCUUUGGCCAUUGUAAAUAAUGCUGCUGUGAACAUGGGUGUACAAAUAUCUCCUUAAGACCCUGCUUUUAAGUUUUUUGGAUAUCUAACCAGAAGUGGAAUUGCUGGAUUAUAUGAUAAUUGAAUGAUUAAUUUGUUUUGAGAAACUGCCAUACUGCUUUCCACCGCAUCUGUACCACUUUGCAUUCCCACAAACACUGCACAAGGGUUCCAAUUUCUCCACAUCCUCACCAACACUGGUGAUUUUCUAUUUUUUUUUUUUUACAGUAGCCAUCCUAACAGAUGUGACUGUGUCCUUUUUGUUUAAUGCCCCUGCACGGCCUACGUUUUCUACAAUGAACAUGUAGUAUAUUUGGGAUUAAGGACAAAAUAUAAAAUACUGAAGUUAAAAAGUAAAUCCUAUGGAGAAAACAGGGUUGUGAAAGAACUUAAGAAAUGAUUGGGUUUUUUUUUUUUAGACUGAGGCAAACUGUUGAGCCCUCUUGUGGGCUCAGCUAGAGACAUCAUUCCUAUACUCUUCAAGAAUCUACCACCUGAUCGGCUGUGGCUGCCACAAGCCACAGGAGAAACGGCCAUAAUUCAUGGGCAGCUGAAAUAAUUCCUCUAAGCUCUGGGAGGAAAGUGUUCCCAGAUGCAGGAAGGAGAACAACAAUGUAUAUUAAGCUGUUGCCAGCUAAUGUUGGUCAUAAAAAUCCCUAGCACUUGGGUAAGGCCUUUCAUCUUCCAAAUCUUUCCUCCAAGCCUUAGAACACUUAUCUCUGAGUUCUCCAUUUGAAUAACUGGAGGCCCAUUUUUCCCCUUCCAGAGCCACAAAGGGUCCACUUUCCAAAACCACAUAAAGAGAAAACAACGUCAAUGUGGCAACUUCUCCCAAAGAGGAGCAGAAUUCUGCUCUUGGUUAACAAGCACACAAAGAACAUCUCCCACAAACCCUUCCAACGCUUCACCUCUGAGCCACACAGGCCGCGUGCUAUCAGUUCAUUCCACAGAAUGUCUCGUUUGAAGAGCUAAAAUUUUCCAAACGUGAACUCAUUCUACCCACUGGUAGAAUGCUUUACUCCUUGGAGGUGAAGUCAUUUGACAUGAUUUAUUCAUUAAGACAAAGGUGAGGUAACUAAAACCAAAAUCCAUCCAAUUAGCUAUUUAUCCAACCUCUAACUCUCAGAGGAGAAAUUCUUUUUUCCUUGGUGUCAACCUCUCCCUCUACCUCCUGCCCUCCCUCACCUUCUUCCUUUGUGUGUUUUGCUCUCUUUUCUUUUCUGGUUUCUUUCUGUUCAGCAAAAUAGGGGAGAUGACAGCAGAGGCAUACAGGAGCCCCAGAGGAAAGGAGACCCAAUGAGCAGGUGGGAAAGAAACAGCCUCCUAUUCUAAGAAGCGGCUGUAUUCAAGUGAUGCAAAAAGAGGUUCAAGAGCACUGUCUGUCUCCCUAGGUGAAAAAGAGUCAACACCUAGAAAAUGGAAUCCAACUCGAGUUUCCUAACAAAGGCUCUGUACCCUACAUCCAAAUUCUUGGCAGGGCCCCCAAAUUACAACCCCCACGUGAAACUGAGAAGGGGGCUAAACCUUGGAGAUACAAGGCACGUGACAUUGAUAAGGAGGUGAAUUUAUGGCCCAGCAACAGUCAAAAGCCUCCAGUCACAGCUGCUGACAAGACCGAAGAGACCUCAGAAGGCAAACUUCAAGAAACAACCAGAAUGGGUCGUUUUCUGAACUCUGGGCAAAGGGGCAAAGGGAAACCACACUGUCUCAGGAGGACGAAGAACCCAGGGAAGCCAUCAGGGAGAAAAAUAAAGUGGCCUUCAUGGAGGAAACACAAGUUAAGGUUAAGGUCAUUCUACGUCUCAACACUGCGGACAUGGAAACACCACCCAGCUCUGUCCCUUCCUGAACUGGAUUUAGAAUUUGAAAUCUACCAUCCACCAAGGCUUGUUCUGCAUGUCCCAGACACAGACUAGAAGCAAACAAGGACUAGUGCAAACAGAAAGAUCUUUCCAAGUUCAUCGUAAGGUGGGUUUGUCCCCAGUGGAAUAGUGGCCUCAGGAGAUCAUAAACACACUGGUAGGGUGGGCUUCCAGCACUGGGGAGGAAUCGCACAGGGCCUGAGGCCCCAAAGCUUCCUUCCACCACUGUGAAUUUAUAGUUCCAUGCGCUUCUGCACUUGUUAAAUCAGGUCGCUAUUUGUUGUCUACUAAUCUACAAACCUGAAGCCCCCAGCCAGCAGAGGCCACUCUCGAUCCCACCCCCCAGCCCCAGUUCACUCCCAAAGAUGAAGACAGAGAGGACUGUCCAGUCUCUAAAAGGGAAGAAGGAGCAAGAACAAGACAUGGAACCAGAAAAUAAAAUAAAUACUCAUCUUAUACUCCCAACUUGAAAUGCACAUACAGGCAGCCCAACAGCCUGUAGAUAAUUUGGUUUACAAUGAUAUGCAAAGAUGCAGACCCAUCGUGGCUGAAUAGUUUCGUACAGUUAGAAGUGACCCUGGAAAGAAUAUUACUGACAGUCUUGCCUUAAAAACUCUUUUGCAAAAGACAUCAUGGUCCCAGACUUCAGCAGUUAACAGAUGGAAAUUAACUUCACUUCAAGUCAAAAACCUAAAAUCUCGCCGGGCGCGGUGGCUCAUGCCUGUAAUCCCAGCACUUUGGGAGGCCAAGGCGGGUGGAUCAUUUGAGGUCAGGAGUUCAAGACCAGCCUGACUGACAUGGUGAAAUCCCGUCUCCAUUAAAAAUACAAAAAUUAGCCAGGCAUGGGGCAUGAGAACCUGGAAUGCCAGGUACUCAGGAGGCACUAGAACCCUGGAGGGAGAGGUUACAGUGAGCCGAGAUCAUGCCACUGCACUCCAGCCUGCCAGCCUGGGCAACACAGCAAGACGGUAUCUCAAAAAAAAAAAAAAAUCUAAAAUCCUAUUUUUCCUUUUUAAAAAAACACCCCUUCCCCAAGUAAAAGUCAACUCUGAUAAUGGGGAGAUCUACAUAAUGUUUACCUUAAUUACUUCUUCCCCAAAUUGAAGUAUUCCUCCCUAUUGUGCUAGAAACCAAAAUUAAACAGCACCAACUUUCCACAGAAACCCUCAGGAAUGACAGCCACUAAGGAAAAAAGGAUGUAAAAGAAAGGAUGGAGCAAGAGGAGGAGGGGGAGAAGGCUGGAAUUCAGGCUUUCCUGUGAAUUCGCUUUGAAAUGCCUAGAGGCCACUGGAUCUGAGUCCCCAAGAAAAUCUGGUAGAGAGGCCAGUGAACCAGCAUAAAGAAUAGAAAAUAAAGGAGAUGUGUUAAAUAAUUUUGAUUUUGGCCACGUGAAGAAGUAUUAGUCAUACAGGUAACAAGAUCUUACAGGGAGAUGAUUCCAAGGCUCGGCUUGACAACGUUAAGUGUAUAUCCAUUCUGGGCCUGGAGUGCCAAUUACAUUUCCAAAUUGGCAAUUAGACACAAUGUCCCAAGACAAUCACCAAAUAAUGCCAAAAACAAAGCAAGUUCCAUCUUAAAGCAGCCAUUCUUUUGAAACUGCCCUUCCCUCCCGUGCCUGACUCAUCCACCUCACAAACAACUGCCCAUUAUGAACUAAAUCCUUGUUAGCUACUGAUCAAGAGAAACCAGGUGGCAUGAAUAAUUAAAAUCCACGAAUGAUUCAAGCACCAUGUUGUCAACAAACCAAGCCCAUCUCUUUCACCAGGAGUUUCUCCAUAGCAUCUAACAAAUUACCCAAAAAAGCAGGAAAAUAUAUUUGCCACCCCCAACCAAUGCAUUCUCGUUCAGCCCCCAGCUAACUACUGGAAAGAGCCUUCCAACAUCUACGUGUGUUUACAUUUGCAUGACUCAGUUCCUGCCCUCAAGGAGUUUGCAGGCAAUUCAGAGAUCAGAUGUUCAUAUUCCAUGAGAAGAUAACUGUUUUUUCCUCUGCUCAGCCUGUCAAGUACUAAUAAAAGCCCUAACAAGCAGGGAGUCAGAACUGGGUCUUAAUUAUUUUUCCCCCAGCACCUAGCUUGGUUUCUGGCACAUCGUAUACACUUAAUAUGCAACAAAAGCAAAAACAACAACAAUAAUUAUAACCAGAAGACUUCUUUGAGGGCCUACUGUGUGCAGGCCGCCACGAUGCUAGGUCCUUCUUCAUUCUGCCUGCUGCAGACACUCAUGGUGCUCCCCUCUGAUGAUGAAACAACAUAAAAAGCACAUCUCAUGGAAAAAGUCCCUGACAGUGUGAGCUGUGAAAAACCCUGGUAUGGUGAGAAAAGGAGCUACUUUCACUUUCAUCUUCUGGAAUUCUUAAGAAGUGCAUUGGAGGGCCACACAGCACGGUGCCACGCGUGUCCCCCAGUCACUCCACGGGCAGCUCUUCAGCCAAUUCUUUGAGGUUGAACCCUCCAUUUGGGAAGGCCCACCCAGGCCCCUACAGAAAAUCAGGCUGGCAGUCUUAAUGCCCACUGACUUCAAACACUCCAGAGGGAGUGGUCCCCAGCCAGCCUGGGGCAUCACCGCAGUGCAGCCCUGGUGACACCACCAGCCUUUAAUUUUGCAAGGAGGUAGUUUGGCUGGGUUGCCCUCCUGGACUUCGGGAAGUCACACCCUUUGCAGAAUGACCAACUGGCACGAGGAAGAGCCCACACAUUGGUGGGUAACACACAGACCACACCCUGUAAACACUGCUCUGGCCACCACAACCCAACCCUAAAUCCACAACGCUGAUGGGUUCCUUAGGAGCAGGCACCUGGACCAUCAGUUUUCGCAAAUAAGAGCCCAGCCCGAACCACAGCUACCCUGGUCUGAAAGGAGUUUUCUCCACCCAACGAUCUGGCAGAGCAAACCUUCUGCUUCUCAUCCCUUCCCCCUUCAAGAGCUGGGAAUUUCCACAUUUAAAAAUAAGCCUGUCUUCAGGGAUGGACUGCACGGAGGCUGAGGGAUGGACCAGAUCCUUGAUACUCAAAGUGUGGUCUGCACAGCAUCAGUAUAGCCUGUGUCUCGCCAGACCAGCAUAAUCUCAGGUCCCACACUGGAUCUUCUGAAUCACAGCCUGCAUUUUAACAGCUCUCGGUGAUUCCUGAGCAUAUUAAAGUUUGACUAAGCCAGGCACAGUGGCUCACACCACUGUGGGAGCACUUUGGGAGACCAAGAUGGGAAGAUCACUUGAACCCAGGAGUUCAAGACAAGCCUGGGCAACAUAGGGAGACCCCAUCUCUGUAAAAAAUUUAAAACCUAGCCAGGUGUGGUGGCACACACCCAUAAGUCUUGGCUACUUGGGGAGCUGAGGCAAGAGGAUCACUUGAGCCUGGGAGGUUGAAGCUGCAGUGAGCAGUGAUCAUGCCACUGUACUCCAGCCUGGGCAACAGAGUGAGACCCUGUCCCAAAAAAAAAAAAAAAAAAAAAAAGUUUGAGAAGCCCAGGCCUAGAGACACUCUCCAGUCCUUGGAGAUAAAGAUGUGAUAUUCCCACUGAACAUUCCCCAGGUUUUCUGUCCAAAGUGCUAGGACACCCUUGCCUCCGAGGGUCCCUGGGUUUCCUUUUCUAGGUGCCUAAUGCGUGGGGUUCCACCCACCCAAGAAGCAGUUCUAAAAGAGACAUCCUUGGUCUGCUCCCUGACUGUGCACAGAAAGGCAUGGCCCUGUCUGAUCCCCAGGGAUGUCUCCAAGGGACCCAGUGUUCCCCACACGGCCCAGGGCCUGGCAUCACAGCACAAACAGCCCUUUCACUGGAACCACAAAGGCGACCUUCCAGGGGAUCUGCAGCUUGGCAAGGUGGUAUUGGCUGCUGUGAUUCACAGAUUAGCAUGGUCACUGCCAGUGUGAGCCGGGACGCCCACUUUGGGAAGGAGGUCCUGGCAUUGCAAUCGAAUGCCAAUGUAACUGUUUCUGCACCAGGCCUCUCAUGCCCUGAUGAGAGAGAGAGAAAGAGAGAGACAGCCCCAAAGCAAGCACUUACUCCUGGCUAUCAGCCACCAAUGAAUGUCCCCAUCCAGGGAACAAAAUAGCUGUGAGGCAAAGAGAAGGUCCAUUUGGACUUACCAUUGGAAUGCUUUAUCCCCCAGGCCAAACAGCAGGGGGCAGGCAGCUCUUCUUUUCCUCCUGUUGUAUGUUUGGUCAAGUUUCCUGGGCACCUAGAAGCAGGGCUAGCCCAAGGCUCCCAAAGGGAGGCCAUAGGUUCUCAGUGUCCUCCUAGGAAAUGCUAUAAAAUGGGGUUGGUGAAAAAAACCACCCCAUGAGGCUGUGCUCUAUCACAGACCUCAAUUUGCAGGUGAGGAAACUGAGGCACAAAGGCAUGACGUCUUUGCCCAGGAUCACAGGCUGAACCUUGGGCACUGCACAGCACCCCUGACACUGAAGCAAGACUGCUCACAGGUAGCACAUUUGAGGGCAUUUUAACCACUUUCUCUACCAGCAGGAUGCCGCCAAGCCUGUGAUGUGGCCCUCCAAAGGGGAAGCUCAGCCACGCCAUGCCUGCUGAUUUUUUUUCACAAGGUAAUUUAAAAGGCAGGUGUGCCACAGAACACACUUGGGGAAACCUGGCCUAGGGGGUGUCUUGGAAAAGCUGGUCUGGGUAGACAGUGAGUGUCCUGGCCAAGAGACCGUGACAUCACUUGGGAGACAGGUCUAUGAGUUCUGGACUUGGGAUAACAGGGAUGGAAUUUGUCCCUCCUCAAGGGUACAAUGCUGGACAACCAUACCUGCCCACCAAAUGCCACAGUGUUUCCCUUCUGCCAGCCCAGCAGCUCCUGGUCCCCCAUACUGUCGAUGUUCGUCCACUGAUACCCCACCAUCAAAACUGUAACCAUCCUGCCAGGACCCCAUCCGUGAAGCCUACCUCUGCUGCCCUGCCCUAACUUUCCAGCCUUGCAACAGCCAAGAGCCAUAAGCCCAUGUCUCAGUCUGACUCUAAAUGGUUUUUUGAUCUAUGACAGUAUACUUCAGGAUCUAAAGCCUCCUUUUGGCUCAAAAACUUUAUUUGUUAUAGUCUGCGCCCUUCAGGGGCUAUAAGUUCAAUGAAUCAAAGGGAAAAUAAACUCAGCACUUCAUGAAGCUAUGAUAGUUACCACUUACAAGAGGCCUGCUAAGUGUCUGGCAUUUGCAGGGUGCUAUGUGCCCAUUAUUCCUGCUCCCUAUAAGAACCCUACAAAGUAAGCAUCAGUAUGCUCUUGGUAUAGGUGAUGUAACCAAAGCUCAACAUGGUUGGCAGUCAAAGAUGCCCUGCUAAUAAAUGUGAGAUCCAUGAUUUGAACUUGGGUUUGCCUGAUUGCAGAGUCUUGUACUAAAGUGUGCAUUUCCAUAAAGAGGGCCAGGGGCUGGACGCCGUGCCUCACGCCUGUAAUCCCAGCACUUUGGGAGGCCAAGGUGGGCGAAUCACAAGGUCAGGAGAUCAAGACAAUCCUGGCCAAUGUGGUGAAACCCCGUCUCUACUUAAAAUACAAAAAUUAGCCAGGUGUGGCAGCGUGCGCCUGUAGUCCCAGCUACUUGGGAGGCUGAGGCAGGAGAAUUGCUUGAACCCAGGAGGCGCAGGCUGCAGUGAGCCAAGAUCGUGCCGCUGCACUCCAGCCUGGGUGACAGAGCGAGACUCCAUCUCAAAAAAAAAAAUUAAUAAAAGGAGAGAGAGAGAGAGCAAGGAAUGAGGAGCACGAGCUCUCUGGACAAGGGCAGGUCAGCUGGAGCUCCCCCGUGACUAGGACCCAAGAACUCCUCCAAGGCCACCCCAAGUGAUCUGCUCAAAAAGGAGUAUCUCAAGGUCAUCUGGUGCAGCCAAUCCCCAGGACAGGAUGAGAUGAGGCACAAGGGCCAAUCUGGAAUCAAGAGCUCCACGGCACUGAAGCUCCAGCCCUGAUUGACUGCGUCAGGCCAGACCCUGGGUAAUUACCAAGCUGUAAUGGGAUCUGAUAUUUAUAUUAGUCACGAGCCUGACAGAGAAAACGUGUUGUUUUCUCAGGCACAGCCAUGGAGACAACAUCUCGAUAAUUCAUUACACGCAGACCAUCCUUGAUCAAGCCCAAGCUUCUACAAGGCCAACAGCUCAAACUGAGAAUGGAAAUAACUCUAUGCCCAGCCACACUCAGGCCCCUCAACAAACCACAGCUCCAACAGGAAGUUGGCCUCAGUUUCCCCAGUUAUUUAAAGAGAAGUAGACCACAUGCUGGAAGACGAGCAGAAGAUGGAAAUAAAGAUAUGUAACUGUCCCAAGGCUGAAUUCCUAAAGGAAUUGCUAGGGAACUGCAAAACACAUUCUGAGCUAGAAACUUUAACCCUCAUUCCUCAACUCCUCCCUCUCUCCUAUAUCGAAUCACAGAGCAGGAAGGGACAUUAGAACUCACAGAAUUCAAUCCCCACAUUUUAUACACAAGGAAAGAUAGACACCAGAGAGGUUAAAUAACUUCUUCAAAGUCAUGGCUUUAUUCAGGCUACCAGAGCAGCUCCCUAUUCAAUAUAGUCUAUGACAGGAUUGAACUUCACAACGUCACACCCAAGUGAAUAGAGAGCUCUGAUGAAAUCCCACAAGGAAAAAAACAAUAAUGUGAAAAAGUACAGCAAAGAACACAGUACUGGAAUGACUGUGACCAAGUUCCCAACAGGAGGAAAUUGUAAUGUUUUCUUCUUCACUUUCUGAAAAAGUCCACAUGCCACUCUUUUCAAAAGACUAAAGUCAUUCACUGUUUGAGAUUCAGAGGCCAAAGGUACUAAUGAAGAGAUGUCCCACGAUGCAUGUCCACAGUCUUGGGUUCCUUUGAUCAAAAAGGUUUGGUGCGAUCCCAGAGACCAAACGCUCAUGAAAUUGGAGCUCCUUGCUGAAUUUUAUCUCCCACAGAAUUUCAGACCUGCUUUCCUCUGGACUCCAGCUCUUGAUCAAACCAUCUUGGGGCUGAAGGAGGGUGAGGGUGAACCCAUCUGAGGGCUGGUAGAAUUUUCUGGAAAGGCAGCCUAUGUUUUCUUGGGAAAUCUAGCACAAAAAUUAUUAUUCUAAGCUUAAGCCAAAUACAUGCCUGUGUAUCGAGUCUUGACAAAACUACCAAAUACUUGGAAAGAAAAAAGAAAAAAAGACAAACACACACACACACACACACACACACACACACACAAUUGCAAUAAAAAUACAGACCUCAAGCAUAGAAAGAAAAGCUUUUAAAAGGCCUAACUUACCGUUACUGCAUAUAAUGAGCUGGCUACCUAUGGCUUAAGUGAGCAAAUCUAGGGGCAGGUAUCAAGAGAUUCUAGGUGUGCUUUAAAAUGGACUUACGGUAUCAAAAGGAACCUGCACUCAUUCUAUACUGGCCUCACAUCUUCCAAACAAACCACCAUCACCUCUCAUCCCUGGCAGAUUUCUUACAGCAACUCACUUCCAGUUAUGUCCACUCAGCAGGUCUUGGGGCUACAAAACAUAGCCAAAUAUUUACGAAUUGUUUUUUCUAAUCGUUGCCAAAAACCUAUUUUCUUGAGUAAACUGACAGAAGUUAUGCUUGCUCAUCAUUUAGGAGAUCCUUUGUGUGUGCGAUGGGAUUAGCAUUUCAUUACAGACACUGCAAUUGCAUUUAUGUACCCCCUAACAUAAAAAGACUUUGGAAGCUGUGUUUAGGACCCCAGGUUCACAAAAACACCACAACUUAUUUUCAAUCAUGGAAAAAGUUUUCAUUAUGAUAAAAAUUGCCCCCUGCCUGAAAGAAAGCAAGCUGUUAAAAAGUUCACCCAGAUCACUCUAUCUAGGGAACAUUUCAGAGGCACACAACUAUGAGCUAUCUUUCCCCUAAAGACAGUCGCUGAAUCUCAGUAAACCGGGGAACAAAAUUCCCGAGACUGUUGGGGGAGGUGGAGGAGAAGGAUGGAGAGAGGGAAUGUGGGAAUUUGAAGGCUCCAGGAAUAAGCUGUUCUCAGCAGGAAGGCUAGUCAGGGAUCUGGUGUAUAGGGCUUUGCUUAACCUGAGGGCUUCUCUGGAAGGUGGGAGGUUUGCCUCCUUAACAAAUAAGAAGAAACCUCUACGGCUGAGAAGGUAAUUCCAAAGAAAACUCUCCGACCAGCACCUGCAGGCCUCCGGAGAAGCCAGAGAAUGACGAAGAGAAUGAUGGUUUUCAUAUUUCUCCCUUUGUUCCAAUACACCAGUAUUUUCCAAAACACAAAUGUGCUGCCACAAAACACAGCUGAGCUCCAGCACCCAACAGGAUGUAUAAUUAAUGAUCAGGAGAGACAGGCUCCUUCCCCCCUGGUGUUUUCAUAGCCAGCCUUCACCCAUAGCCCCAGGCUUCCCUACUUCUCUCAGCCGCCAAGGAGGCUGCUACAAGUUGCUGUGCCCUGUAGAAGUUUGAGGGGUCCUCGGUUUAACUUUACUAGAAAAGAUGUGAACAUGUGGAGGCUGCAAUGUGUAUCUACCCUGCACUAUUCCCCUGGAUUUCCCUUCCCUCCAAAACGGUUCGCGCGUGAAGUCCCCUAGGAUGGGAAUUACUCAGAAAGAAGGCAGCUGGCUCACUCUCUUUUUUCCAGUUCUUUCUUUUUUAUUCUGCAGUUUUCUAUCAGUGU
rnacentral:lncRNA from 1 species